rnacentral:rRNA from 1 species
UACGAAGGGGGCUAGCGUUGCUCGGAAUGACUGGGCGUAAAGGGCGCGUAGGCGGAUGGCUCAGUCAGAUGUGAAAUUCCCGGGCUUAACCUGGGGGCUGCAUUUGAUACGUGUUGUCUUGAGUUCGGAAGAGGGUCGUGGAAUUCCCAGUGUAGAGGUGAAAUGCGCAGAUAUCGGGAGGAACACCGGUGGCGAAGGCGGUUCUCUGGGCCUUACCUGACGCUGAGGAGCGAAAGCGUGGGGAGCGAACAGG